rnacentral:rRNA from 1 species
GAUUAACGCUGGCGGCGUGCAUAACACAUGCAAGUCGAACGAUGAAACUUAGUAGACUUCUUCGGAAAGACACUAAGCGGAUUAGUGGCGAACGGGUGAGUAACGCGUGAGUAACCUGCCUUACACAAGGGGAUAGCCUUUGGAAACGAAGAAUAAUACACUAUAAAACCAUAAAAGCACAUGCUAGAAUGGUCAAAGUGAUAGCGGUGUAAGAUGGACUUGCGUCUGAUUAGCUAGUUGGUGAGAUAAAAGCUCACCAAGGCAACGAUCAGUAGCCGGCUUGAGAGCGUGUACGGCCACAUUGGGACUGAGACACGGCCCAGACUCCUACGGGAGGCAGCAGUGGGGAAUUUUGCACAAUGGGGGAAACCCUGAUGCAGCGACGCCGCGUGAUUUAGAAGGCCUUCGGGUUGUAAAAAUCUUUUGUAUAGGAAGAAAAUGACAGUACUAUACGAAUAAGGUCCGGCUAAUUACGUG